UUAAAUGAAGUGCAGCUGCUGUUUCUGCACUUUGGGUUGAAUACAAUUACCAAUCACCUGAAACUCGUUGCAAAAAUGGGCAUAACUUCUUCCUGCACUGACUGAAAUGUUCUGUGCAGCAGUGCUGUUAUUGAUAGGUCUCAGUCACCCCGAUGUUGGAUUGUGUAUAUCAUCGCAGUUCUCCUUUCUAAACAACAACUAGCUGUUAUGGACAGAUGUAGAAUAAUGCGUGCUUGCUCCCAGGUAAUUGAACUCACGCCUGGGUACCCUGUCUCUGUGCUGCCCCAGUAACCUUUUUUCUGCUGUGUGUCCCAGCCCCUGUGCCGCCUCACGCUCGCAUUGUGCCGCGCAGAGCCCCUGCCGUAGGAGGCAGGUUACCUCCUCAAGACCUGGCUUUGCCCUCAGAGUCAGCCUGGAUCCAGCAGCGAUUCAUCUUGCCCAAGAUGAGAGGAGGGGUAAAAGAAAAGAACAGCCAGGACAAAUGUGUUUUCAAUGGCGCUUAGCUGCAGGAAGGCCACUGAGACCUCAGUGCGGCGUUACUGGAGUGUGACAUAAUAAUACAGUAGGUACGUUGGUGGGUAGAGCCUCUGGAAAGCCAGCGACCCUCCUUUCACACGGAUUUCAUUUUGACUUGACAUGACAGAGCUAAUUUCAUUACCAGGAGGCACGCUGGAUUGUGCUGCAGCGUAGAGCAGGCUGCUGGAAAUUAGCUCUGUUUUCCUGGUUUGCUUCCACUGCUGCUAGUGAACACCACUUUCUUUACCCAGUGCCACGAAGUACAUGAUACAGCAGAAUAAUUUUAUACUCAUGGCUGUUGCCACCUUUAUUAACAGUCUUUCGCUGCAUCGAUUAAUUACAUGAGGAGUUAAUUAAAGUAUCUGAUAUACUAGGGAAUAAACGUGUAUUUUAGUACUUGGAUAGCA
rnacentral:lncRNA from 1 species